rnacentral:rRNA from 1 species
UGCGAUAAGCGCCGGUAAGGUGAUAUGAACCGUUAUAACCGGCGAUUUCCGAAUGGGGAAACCCAGUGUGAUUCGUCACACUAUCAUUAACUGAAUCCAUAGGUUAAUGAGGCGAACCGGGGGAACUGAAACAUCUAAGUACCCCGAGGAAAAGAAAUCAACCGAGAUUCCCCCAGUAGCGGCGAGCGAACGGGGAGGAGCCCAGAGCCUGAAUCAGCAUGUGUGUUAGUGGAAGCGUCUGGAAAGGCGCGCGAUACAGGGUGACAGCCCCGUACACAAAAGCGCAUGUGCUGUGAGCUCGAUGAGUAGGGCGGGACACGUGGUAUCCUGUCUGAAUAUGGGGGGACCAUCCUCCAAGGCUAAAUACUCCUGACUGACCGAUAGUGAACCAGUACCGUGAGGGAAAGGCGAAAAGAACCCCGGCGAGGGGAGUGAAAAAGAACCUGAAACCGUGUACGUACAAGCAGUGGGAGCACAGGUUUACCUGUGUGACUGCGUACCUUUUGUAUAAUGGGUCAGCGACUUAUAUUCUGUAGCAAGGUUAACCGAAUAGGGGAGCCGGAGGGAAACCGAGUCUUAAUUGGGCGUUAAGUUGCAGGGUAUAGACCCGAAACCCGGUGAUCUAGCCAUGGGCAGGUUGAAGGUUGGGUAACACUAACUGGAGGACCGAACCGACUAAUGUUGAAAAAUUAGCGGAUGACCUGUGGCUGGGGGUGAAAGGCCAAUCAAACCGGGAGAUAGCUGGUUCUCCCCGAAAGCUAUUUAGGUAGCGCCUCGUGAAUUCAUCUCCGGGGGUAGAGCACUGUUUCGGCUAGGGGGCCAUCCCGGCUUACCAACCCGAUGCAAACUGCGAAUACCGGAGAAUGUUAUCACGGGAGACACACGGCGGGUGCUAACGUCCGUCGUGAAGAGGGAAACAACCCAGACCGCCAGCUAAGGUCCCAAAGUCAUGGUUAAGUGGGAAACGAUGUGGGAAGGCCCAGACAGCCAGGAUGUUGGCUUAGAAGCAGCCAUCAUUUAAAGAAAGCGUAAUAGCUCACUGGUCGAGUCGGCCUGCGCGGAAGAUGUAACGGGGCUAAACCAU